rnacentral:rRNA from 1 species
GACGAACGCUGGCGGCGUGGAUUAGGCAUGCAAGUCGAACGGCAUCAUCCUUUCGGGGGUGAGAGAGUGGCGAACUGGUGAGUAACACGUAGGUUAUCUACCCUCAAGACGGGGACAACCCAGGGAAACUUGGGCUAAUACCGGAUGUGAGCAACUUUUAGUUGUUUGAAAGGUGGCGUAAGCUGUCGCUUGGGGAUGAGCCUGCGUCCUAUUAGUUAGUUGGUGAGGUAACGGCUCACCUAGGCAAUGAUAGGUAGGCGGCCUUAACGGGUGGUCGCCCACACUGGGAUUGAGAUACGGCCCAGACUCCUACGGGAGGCAGCAGUCGAGAAUAGUCUACAAUGGUCGGAAGACUGAUAGUGCGACGCCGCGUGAACGAUGAAUCCCUUCGGGGUGUAAAGUUCUUUUAUAUGUGAGCAGUGCUUCUUAUAUUAACAGUAUGGGGAGGAGAUAUUAGCAUAUGAAUAAGCAACGGCUAACUCCGUGCCAGCAGCCGCGGUAA